UAAUGUAAGUUAAAUUGGUGU
rnacentral:piRNA from 1 species